UACAGAGGGUGCGAGCGUUAAUCGGAAUUAUUGGGCGUAAAGCGCAUGUAGGUGGUUAGAUAAGUUUGAUGUGAAAGCCCAGGGCUUAACCUUGGAAUAGCGUUGAAGACUGUGUAACUAGAGUCGGACAGAGGGCAGUGGAAUUUCCGGUGUAGCGGUGAAAUGCGUAGAGAUCGGAAAGAACACCAGUGGCGAAGGCGGCUGCCUGGGUCCAGACUGACACUGAGGCGCGAAAGCAUGGGGAGCAAACAGG
rnacentral:rRNA from 1 species